CUUGAACGCUGGCGGCAGGCCUAACACAUGCAAGUCGAACGAGUGGCGGACGGGUGAGUAAUGUCUGGGAAACUGCCUGACGGAGGGGGAUAACUACUGGAAACAGUAGCUAAUACCGCAUACCAUCGGAUGUGCCCAGAUGGGAUUAGCUAAUAGGUGGGGUAAAGGCUCACCUAGGCGACGAUCACUAGCUGGUCUGAGAGGAUGACAAGCCACCCUGGAACUAUGACAGGGUCAAGACUACAACGGUAGGCAGCAGUGGGGAAUAUUGCACAAUGGGCGCAAGCCUGAUGCAGCGAUGCCGCGUGUAUGAAGAAGGCCUUCGGGUUGUAAGGUACUUUCAGCGGGGAGUCGUUACCCGCAGAAGAAGCACCGGCUAACUCCGUGCCAGCAGCCGCGGUAAUAC
rnacentral:rRNA from 1 species